CCUACGGGUCGCAGCAGUGGGGAAUAUUGCACAAUGGGCGCAAGCCUGAUGCAGCCAUGCCGCGUGAAUGAAGAAGGCCUUCGGGUUGUAAAGUACUUUCAGCGGGGAGGAAGGGAGUAAGGUUAAUAACCUUAUUCAUUGACGUUACCCGCAGAAGAAGCACCGGCUAACUCCGUGCCAGCAGCCGCGGUAAUACGGAGGGUGCAAGCGUUAAUCGGAAUUACUGGGCGUAAAGCGCACGCAGGCGGUCUGUCAAGUCGGAUGUGAAAUCCCCGGGCUCAACCUGGGAACUGCAUUCGAAACUGGCAGGCUGGAGUCUUGUAGAGGGGGGUAGAAUUCCAGGUGUAGCGGUGAAAUGCGUAGAGAUCUGGAGGAAUACCGGUGGCGAAGGCGGCCCCUGGUCAAAGACUGACGCUCAGGUGCGAAAGCGUGGGGAGCAAACAGGAUUAGAUACCCUUGUAGUC
rnacentral:rRNA from 1 species